UUAUGGCUCAGGACGAACGCUGGCGGCGUGCUUAACACAUGCAAGUUGAACGGUAUGACAUGGAAGCUUGCUGAAGUGUCAUAUAGUAGCGGACGGGUGAGUAAUGCAUGAGAAGCUGCCAUUGGGAGGGGGACAACAGUUGGAAACGGCUGCUAAUACCCCGUAUGCCGGAAGGUGAAAGGGAGCGAUCCGCCCGAUGAGGUGCUCAUGUCCUAUCAGCUGGUUGGUGGGGUAACGGCCUACCAAGGCGACGACGGGUAGCCGGCCUGAGAGGGUGAACGGCCACACUGGAACUGAGAUACGGUCCAGACUCCUACGGGAGGCAGCAGUGGGGAAUAUUGGGCAAAUGGGGGCAACCCUGACCCAGCGACGCCGCGUGGGGGAAGACGGCCUUCGGGUUGUAAACCUCUUUUGUACGGGAAGAAGGAAGUGACGGUACUGUACGAAUAAGUCCCGGCUAACUACGUGCCAGCAGCCGC
rnacentral:rRNA from 1 species